ACGGGAGGCAGCAGUGAGGAAUAUUGGUCAAUGGGCGGAAGCCUGAACCAGCCAAGUCGUGUGAAGGAUGAAGGUAUUAUGUAUUGUAAACUUCUUUAGCUGUGGAGCAAUAAUCUCCAUGUAUGGAGAGAUGAGAGUACACAGAGAAUAAGGAUCGGCUAACUCCGUGUCAGCAGCCGCGGUAAUACGGAGGAUCCGAGAGUUAUCCGGAUUUAUUGGGUUUAAAGGGUGCGCAGGCGGCUUUCUAAGUCAGUGUUCAAAUCGUGGUGCUCAACGCCAUCCCGCCAUUGAUACUGGAGAGCUUGAUUGCGGUCGAGGUUUGCGGAAUUCGUCGUGUAGCGGUGAAAUGCAUAGAUAUGACGAAGAACACCGAUUGCGUAGGCAGCAGACCAGGCCGUAAAUGACGCUCAUGCACGAAAGUGCGGGGAUCGAACAGGAUUAGAUACCCUGGUA
rnacentral:rRNA from 1 species